GUCUCAGUGGCUCAGUGGUAGAGCAUUAGAAUGCGGAAUCUGAAGGUCUAAGGUUCAAUUCCUGAUUGGGACU